rnacentral:tRNA from 1 species
GAGGCCAUAGCUCAGUGGUAGAGCACGUGCUUAGCAUGCACGAGGUCCUGGUCCCA